rnacentral:rRNA from 1 species
CCUACGGGAGGCUGCAGUGGGGAAUAUUGCACAAUGGGGGAAACCCUGAUGCAGCGACGCCGCGUGAGUGAAGAAGUCUUUCGGUAUGUAAAGCUCUAUCAGCAGGGAAGCAAAUGACGGUACCUGAUUACGACGCCACGGCUAACUACGUGCCAGCAGCCGCGGUAAUACGUAGGGGGCAAGCGUUAUCCGGAUUUACUGGGUUUAAAGUGAGCGUAGACGGCAGCACAAGUCUGGAGGGAAAUGCCGGGGCUUAACCCCGGAACUGCUGUGGAAACUGGGCAGCUAGAGUGCAGGAGAGGUAAGUGGAAUUCCUAGUGUAGCGGUGAAAUGCGUAGAUAUUACGAGGAACACCAGUGGCGAAGGCGGCUUACUGGACUGUAACUGACGUUGAGGCUCGAAAGCGUGGGGAGCAAACAGGAUUAGAUACCCCAGUAGUC